GUCUGUGGCCGUACCACCCUGAAUGUGUCUGAUCUCAUCUGAUCUCUGAAGCUGAGCAGGGGCGGGCCUGGUUAGUGCUUGGAUGGGAGAUCACACUUUUAGUCUUAAUAUUAUGCUUGCU
rnacentral:rRNA from 1 species